rnacentral:rRNA from 1 species
AUUGAACGCUGGCGGCAUGCCUUACACAUGCAAGUCGAACGGUAACAGGUCUUCGGAUGCUGACGAGUGGCGAACGGGUGAGUAAUACAUCGGAACGUGCCUAGUAGUGGGGGAUAACUACUCGAAAGAGUGGCUAAUACCGCAUGAGAUCUACGGAUGAAAGCAGGGGAUCGCAAGACCUUGUGCUACUAGAGCGGCCGAUGGCAGAUCAGGUAGUUGGUGGGAUAAAAGCUUACCAAGCCGACGAUCUGUAGCUGGUCUGAGAGGACGAUCAGGCACACUGGGACUGAGAAACGGCACAGACUCCUACGGGAGGCAGCAGUGGGGAAUUAUGGACAAUGGGCGCAAGCCUGAUUCAGCAAUGCCGCGUGCAGGAUGAAGGCCUUCGGGUUGUAAACUGCUUUUGUACGGAACGAAAAGCCCCGGGUUAAUACCCUGGGGUCAUGACGGUACCGUAAGAAUAAGCACCGGCUAACUACGUGCCAGCCGCCACCGUAA